GAGAACAUAGCUUAUUCUGGCUAAAGCAUUAGCCUGUCACGCUAAAGAUAACGGGUUCGAUUCCCGUUGUUCUCG
rnacentral:tRNA from 1 species